AUGCCGCUGCCUCGUAAGGGCGGAGGAAGGCGCGGGAGGCGCGGGGGCCGCUCCGGUGCGGCGGCCGGCGGGGAGCGGGGCCCUUGGGGCCGGCCGGGAGCGGCGCUGGGCGGCCGCGGCGGGCGGCGGCCACCGGCCAGGAGCGGCGGCAAAGUUUUGGUGUGGGGGGCCAGAGGCGCGCAGGGGGAUUAUGAUCGGUGCCGGCGAGGGAUUCCCAGCCAUUGCCAGGGAACUCCUAUGGGAAUGGGAAGUGGAACACUACCCACACCAGGAAGACCAGAUCCAGCAGAUAGCGGAUAUGAGAACUUUGCUGACUUCAGAAAGCUGAGUGUAACACCAACAGACUUCAGUCAAAGGAAAUAUUAUCCUUCCAAACAACUCAUACUUAGACAACUUCUGGUAGCUUUAAAUUAACUGGUUGUUCACCUGGAAAGAUACUGCUAUUGUUUCUUUCAGCACACAUGGAGGAAGGUUACAACAAACUUUGUAAUCCUGGCUAAUAAGACUGUGGCUUUCUUAUUAAAAGUAGGAGGUGGGCCAACUGUAAAGGGAUUAUUUUUUACUUAGCCUGCAGGACUUUAUCUCCACCUGAACACUGGACAUAAACCGGAGUCAAUUUUAAUGACCUGAGAUUUUGCUACCUGUGCUUUAUUAUUGUUAUCAGUUCUUUAACGCUUUGGUAC
rnacentral:lncRNA from 1 species